AACGAACGCUGGCGGCAUGCCUAAUACAUGCAAGUCGAACGAGAAAGCUCUUCGGAGUGAGUAGAGUGGCGCACGGGUGAGUAAUGCAUAGGAACGUACCCUAAGAUUUGGAAUAACCACGGGAAACUGUGGCUAAUACCAUAUAGUCUCGCAAGAGUAAAGGAGGCGUAAGCUCCCGUCUUAGGAUCGGCCUAUGUCCCAUUAGCUAGUUGGUAGGGUAAAGGCCUACCAAGGCGACGAUGGGUAGCUGGUCUGAGAGGAUGAUCAGCCACACUGGGACUGGGAAACGGCCCAGACUCCUACGGAGGCAGCAGUAGGGAAUAUUGCACAAUGGAGGAAACUCUGAUGCAGCAAUGCCGCGUGAGUGAAGAAGGCCCUUGGGUCGUAAAGCUCUUUCGAUUGGGAAGAAGGCUCGGUAUGCAAACAGCAUAUCGGGUGGACGGUACCUAAAGAAGAAGCACCGGCUAAUCUCGUGCCAGCAGCCGCUGUAA
rnacentral:rRNA from 1 species